GGUGAGCUCCCAUUGCUCUGCCCCAGCUCCUGCCAACCUAGCAGGUCGAAAGCAUACCAGUGCAAGUAGAUAAAUAGGUACCGCUGUGGCGGGAAGGUAAAUGGCGUUUCCAUGCGCUCUGGCUUCCGUCAUGGUGUUCCAUUGCACCAGAAGUGGCUUAGUCAUGCUGGCCACAUGACCCGCAAACCUGUCUGGACAAACACCAGCUCCCUUGGCCUGAAAGCGAGAUGAGCGCCACAACCCUGCCUUUAACUGGACUUCGAAUCCACAUGAUGGUGUGAGCUCCCAUUGCUCUGUCCCAGCUUCUGCCAACCUAGCAGUCUGAAAGCACACCAGUGCAAGUAGAUAAAUAGGUACCGCUGCGGCGGGAAGGUAAAUGGCGUUUCCAUGCACUCUGGCUUCCGUCAUGGUGUUCCAUUGCACCAGAAGCAGUUUAGUUAUGCUGGCCACAUGACCCGGAAAGCUGUCUGUGGACAAACGCUGGCUCCCUCGGCCUGAAAGUGAGAUGAG